GGCAGUGCGGGCCGGGCUGCGGGGUCCCGGGCGCCGCGCGGUCCCGAGGUGCUGGAAGGGGCGCCGGUGUCUGCGCUCCCAGAGGCCUCGGGGCCCUGCCGGACAGCCGGGCUGCGGGGGGCGCUCCGGGCGGCCUCCCAACUCGCCCGCCGGUCGCGCCCUUCGGCCCUCCCAUCGCGCUGUCCCCUACUGUCACCUCUUUGCCCGACGGUGAACCCAGCCCGAAAGGCCGAGAAGUGCCCCGCGCCGCGGCCAUCCGCCCUCCUGGCGGCUCCAGGCCCUGCUGUCCCGCCGCCCCGCGUGCCUCUGCCGCCCCCUGCGGUGGCCAGGCCGGAGCCCCUCCCCUCCCUCGACCGCCUUGCCUCUCAGAGCUUGAAGCCCCAGGUUGUUUCCAGUUUCUAAGGCAAGGACCUUGUGUGAGACAUCUCUGCAGCCCCAGCACCUGGCAACAUGUCUGGCACUGUGUAGGCUCAAAUGUCAGCUGAAGGACUAGUUGGAGAGAGGAAAAGGAACUUCAUCUAAGAAGAAAACAAUAUAUAUUUUAGAAGAGAAACAUGAUCCUCAGAGGAGAAAAUUUCAACUCGAGAUUCUCUGGACAAGCCUUCAACAGCACUCACACCUCUUCUAAAAUAAACAGAAGAAAUCAUCCAUCACAUGCCUGUAUAACGGCAUUUUCACUGAAUAGGGGCUCUGUGUAUAACACGUCUCCAAGAUGUAAAAUGUAAAAUUUCCUGUGUGUGACUGCCACAAUAAGCCCUCUCAAACGUUCUAACAUCUGAUAUUGUAACAUUAUUUAUAUAUUUAGUUGUUUCUUUAAACUUCUUCUCUUUUUUUUUGGCAAUAGCCACAUCUGUUUCAGCAAUUUUGUGAUUUUUAAACUUCCUUCUGCGAUAGGCUUUUAAAACCGUGCAUGUUGCUUAUAUAAUUAUUACCUCUUUGGAAACUUGAAAAAAAAUGUAGUUCAAGAGGUCAGAAAUUGAAUUAUAAGCAUUCUUAAGAGAAUUUAUGCCAGGCAUAUUUUGCUGAUAGAUUUUAGCUCAAGGUGUUUAUGUAGUAGAAACAAUGAUUUAUAAUGGUAAACAUCUCUGGCUGAAUCAUCAGUGUAUCUUUAAUGGAUUAGUUAAGAAAUAGCAACUCAGGAAAUACAAAUUCUAAUCUUAGUUCUUUCUGAUAUAUAUCAGGAUAUCAGACACUCAUUUCACUUUAUCUCAAUUUUGUAUAUUAUUAAAUUGGGGAAACUGUUAAAAACAUCCACUCAAUAGUGGGGAAAGAAUGAAAGAGGCUUUAUGGUAUCACAGAAAGACAAAGAAUCCCAGUUAGAAGAUCUGGCUUUAAGCUUGACCUUGUCACUUAAAAUAGCCAUGUUAAUUUAUACAAGCCACUUCAUUCUCACAGGGUGUCAUUUUUCCUUAUCUGUCAAAGAGAGAUAAUAAUAUAUCUUAUUUAUCUUGUAAGGCUGUAGGGAUGAACAAAAUGAAGUAUUAUUGGUAAAAGGGCUUCAUCAAUUGUCAAGAGAUAUAUAAAUGUAAAUUAGAAUAUCACAAAUAACAUCAGAGCUUUGCUAUAGUACCAUCUGCUUCAGCAAGGAAUUCAUGUAAGGCUGCUCUGUUUCAGCCGGUUCCAAGGGGUGUGGCAGUGGCAAGGCUCCAUCAUGUUCAUCUUUGCAGGGAUUUUGAAGUUGCUGAUACACUGAAAGUCAACAGAUAUUUAUUUUAGAAUUCUAGUUCUGUGAAGUCACACAUAUGCUGUUUCAAUGAUUUAUAUUUGUUUUGAGAAAUAGCAGAUUUUCCCUGUUCAUAUGUUCUCCAUUUCUAGCCCCAUGAAUAAUAAACUGAAAACAGAUAUAGAAGCAACAAUGGCCAUCUUCUUAUUACAGAGCUCAGCUCUUGGAAGGCUGCAGAACAGUCAUCAGGGUUUGAGAAGACCUCAGGGAGCUAGCUGUAGUAAAGGCAACCAGAGUGAUGGUUCAUUUUAUCUGCUGCCCCUUCUGAAAUCAGGUAGUUGUAGGGUACAGUUGAAUCUCUGUUUUUUUCUUUUAAAUCAAAAGCACAUUAAUAAAAUAAGCCAGGCGGAGAAAGACAAGUAUCAAAUGAUUUCAAUCAUCUGUGGAGUAUAUGAACAAAGAAAAAACUGAAAGAACAAACCAGCAGCAGACUCACAGAACCCAAGAAUGGAUGAACAGAUA